rnacentral:pre_miRNA from 1 species
UGAGGAAUUCCAGGAUCAUGUGGAAAGUGCAUGUUUAAUUUUACAGGCAACUGCCAAAUUGUUUUCCCAAGUGACUGUACCAUUCUGCAUUCCCACCAGCAAU